CUGUAAUCACAAACCCAAAAGACUCCUCGUCCCCAAUCUCCCUCAAUCUCACAUUUCUCUCACCAGAACCCUCCUUCAAUUGCGUCUCUCCCAAACUCUCGUCUUUCUCACAACACCGCUCAAACAUCGCCUCUCAGACCUCUCUCUCGCGUACCCUUCGCUUACCCAUCACUCAACAACGUUAAGCAACAACAGCGUAAAUCCACGGUUUUACAGAGACCUCAAGCAGAAAUCUCACCUUCGAUGAGACGGCGAAUCAGUAAAAUUCUUAGAAGACUCAGUUGGUUUGGUUGAGGUUCAAUGGCUGUAGCAGGGCGAUCAUGGGAGUAGGGAGUGCUAAAGGAAUGCUCACAACUGGUCAUUGCAGGUGGUGUUUGGGCUGAAACCUGUGGUCUGCAAAUAUUGAUGGAACUUUGAAGAGCUGAGGCAUCAACAUAUGCAUAUACUAUUCCGGCCAACUCUAUAGUCAUACCUCCACCAACUUCAGGAGGCGUUGGUGCUUGGCUCUCUGGUCCAAAGUUUUAUUUGGACAAGCUCCUAUUUCUCUCCACUGAUUAUGGCUAACUUUCUCUGAUUCAAUCUUCUCCAAUGUGAUUCAAUCUUCUCCGUCACGGGGUGGUGAUGUAAAGGCAAUAGGAUUGUGUAUUUGAGAGGUUGAAUAUAAAAGGAUUCAGAACAGACUUAAUCUUCUGUCAUGGCCAUGUGUAGGUGUGUUUCUGUUUUGAUUGGAAGGAAGAACAAAAUUAAGGGCAUUGAAAAAUCUUCAAAAGGAAACCUGGAACAGUUGCAUGCCAAAGUACGACACCCAACGAUAUCAUCAAAGAGUCGUGAUUUAAAGCCAGAAGCCAACCAGACGAAUUCAAGGUGCAACGUGAAGGUUAUGAGUCUUGAGAGUCCAAUGAAGACUGAAGUACUAAUUUUGGAUGCCAUACUGCCGGUUCUACUCAAACUCUUGGUACUAAGAGUCUCAACAGAAGAUUUUAUCGAAUUGACCCUAUCCUUGGAUUUUGAAAUUCCUUCCCUCUUACAACUCUCCGGGCCCUUUGAAUCAACAUAUGGAGCUACUGCAAGCUUAUUCCGUAAAUUACCACAGUCUUGUUUCUGAGAAGAAAGACUGAAAGCUUCAGCAGUAUCCUUUUUCUGGAAGGCCUCUUUUAUUUCCUUAGAAGUUUUCAUGUACCAGGCAAAAAAAAAUAAGUGUUGUUUUCUCCUUCAUCUUCAUCAUAUGCAACAUCUUCACACCCAAAUACUGCUCCAGUAUCAUACUUCUUCUUGAAUGCUACUACCAGCUUUUUUCACACUGAUGACAGAGUUGCGCAGCAGCAGCUGUCUUCCAAAGACGCUCCCGUGCGAGAUCAUUUGCCAUCCAUGCCAUUUCCUCUAGGACAAAAUUCCAGUGAGACUUUCGGAGGACCGGUUCUGAAUUCUUCGACUGCUGCAGAGUUACAUUUUUAGCAAUCCCUUCGCUUACCGGUAGAUUGGGAUUUGGAAGAAUUUUUUUUUUCUUGGACUUAAGCUGCUUGUCAUCCAGAUCUCCAGAAGGCACUUUAUGAUCACUUUCUGAUACACUCCACAUUUCAAAAACAGAUGUAUCAUUGGACUUUUCAAAAAGGGGACAUGUGGAACGGUGUAGUACAUUUUGGAUGGCACCUUCAAUAUUUGAGCUCAAAUGACUUACAUCAAUGCCAUAUACGCUUGCAGUUUCAUCACCAGUAACAUCAUGUCCUUCCAAAUUUCUAGCAAGAUUUUCAAGACUUAUGAAGUAACAUCCUGACAUCAACAUACUUGAAAUACUUGGAUGCUAGUAAAUCAAUCAAGAAAAAUUCAGCAAGACUAUAAGAGUGAAGAAUGAAAGGUUUGUAUGCAAUUAGAGCUCAGGACGCUUGCGUACGGUUUAUGUGUGGAAUUCGAGUUUUGGAAAUUGGUUUCAAAAGUUUGUAAUUGGAUUUUGGUUUAAUGGUUGAAUAAGAAUGGAAUAGGUAAAUGAACAAGUUAAAAUUGAAUUGAUUCUUUUUGGUAUUUUGUCUUGUAAAUGGAUAUCCAAUGGAAAAUUAUGGGUGAAUUUAGGGUUUAAUGAAAUUGGGUUGACUUUGGUCAAAGUUGACCAAAAAGUCAACUGUUGACCAAAGUCAACAAUUGGUCAAAAGUGUCAAUUUUUUGUAUUUUUCUUGUAUGGAAUCAUAUGUACUGGUUUAAACAUGAAA